ensembl:lncRNA
ACUAUUCCCUGCCUGUACCUGUGUCCCACACCAGCUCUAGUCUAAAAUAUCCCUAAUUAACAUCUUGCUGUACAUUUAAUCACAGUUCAGUGCAAAUGUAGGAGUGAUGUUUGGAAGUUCAUCCCACUAAUAGCAGGAUGUCAUUUUUGUGAUAAUUCCCUAAAGGUAUCAUUAAAGGCAGGCAAAUCCUGGUUAAAAGGUACUAAAAAAAAAAACAAACCCUGAAAGAAAGGGAGUUGUACUUUAAAUCUACCCAGACCUUACAUUUGAAAUAAUGUAGAUACUUCUGUUUGGGCCAGUUUAGGAAAAUCACAGGUGGUUUUUUGACUCAGUCAGUACCUGAGGUUACUUGUUCUUUGAGUCUGUCAGCCUGUAACACUGUGAACUUUUACAGCCAUGAAUUACAGAAGUUCAGUUGAGAUUUAUUUUUUUUUUUUUUAAGCAAAGAGAUUUUAUUUUCUAGGCAACAAAAGAAAACAUCCAAGCAGUGAUAAGUGACACGUCUCCCUCAAACGGAACUGAUUCUCUCUGUCAGCAGAUUUCCAAGGCAAACAUGAUCUAGCAAAGCUAAACACUCUGGAUUAAAGAAUGCUAAUUUGAAAAAAUACUGCAACUGAGAAAUACCAAAACAACAACAAAAACAAGAUGUUUUUACACACUUUGAGAAAACCAUCCAAGGACACGAAGCCAAAAUCUAAGUGUUGCUCCCCGAAGUCAAAUGCGUUUGCAAACAUGGCAGACAAUAAAUAUGGAUCUUCCACUCCUGUUUCAAAGACACCCAAAGACACCUCGUGCACCUCUCUGAGGCUAAAAGCAGAGCGGGGUUUAACACUGGAAGCUAAAUGGUUUUCUACAGGAAACUUUCAACAGUGCUAUUUUAAUACUGAAUUAAAACCAAACCUGGUCCAUAGUGCUCUUGGUGAUUCUAGUCUUUAAUUAUUCAUGCCUUAAUUCAGAAAAGCACUUGUGUAAUUAUGUUUCUUCUUCAAUAAGACCUUCCCGUGUUUCAAGAUCCAACCGGGAGCUUUCGCUGAGAACUUCAGUGAAACGUGAUUUUUGUGUAGAAAAGGGGGUUCUGCUGCACCACUUUAGUCAGGUGCCUUAAGGAAUGGAGGCCUUUAAAACUGGAUUUUAGGUUCCACGUGGAAAGUGGGGUUUUUUUCUGCCUCAGUCCAAAGAUAGAUGCACGUUCUUGCUCCCCGUUUUAAAAGUGCAAGGAAGGUCACCCAAGACAGUAACAGAAAAAUGGCAGGCAAAGAAUAUUUUAAAAUUUAAGAAACAAGUAUGUGUUGCAGGCAUUUCAAAGGAAAAAAAAAAAAUCCCCUUCAGUAAUAUGCACCUUUACAGCACCUUUUAAAAAACCUCAAAAGCACUUGCAGUUAAGCCUCACAACCCCACUGUGAGGAGGGAUAUUAAACCCAUUUAAUCUUCCCUGAUACUCGACAGUACAAAUACAGCUUAUUUUGUUCUGAAAUUUCAACUGCACCUUUCAUUAUCAGAAUUAAAAGUCUUGCUACUCUACAGUCACCAGUGAUAAAACAAACACAUUAAGGCAGAAAGCAGAUGAAGAAACUUCAAGCCUCCCUUCUGGCUCAGCACUCUGGCCUUUAAAGGGCAAAACUUAUUAUCAGCAAAGAGUGAGAACUCAACCUUAAAGUGCUCAUAAUACAGUAUUUGGAACCUGGAACAGCUUUGUAACACUAUGGCCAUGACUGGCUCUACUCAAGUAAAGUCUGCUUAAAUGUAUUUAACAGAUGCAAAUUAAGUCACUUCCCUAACUACUUAUUUCCCUCUUGCCAUAAUUUCCAAUACUAUUAAGAAGAAGAAUACCAAGUAUUCCAGGAAAACAUGCCUACGUUCUGAUGCAGUGUAAACACCAGGGGGGUUGAGAGUUAUUUUUUUUCAAGCAACUAAAAACUACCUAUGGAGGAUUAAU